GUUUUAUUUUGGGCUGCAUUACUACACUUUUUUAGCUUCAUUACUAUGAAAUUUGGGCUGCAUUGCAGCAAGACAAUUUCAUUUCUCGGCGAGGUCGGGGGAGGUGCUGCAAAUGUUCAACGGCGGUGCUGUAAAUGUUCCGUGGCUCUGCUUCUUUACUACAUUAUUUGUGCUUCAAUGUCUCCGGCGAGGUUGGGGAGGUGCUGCAAAUAUUCAAUGGCAGUGUUGUAAAUGUUUCGUGGCUCUGCUUCUUUACUACAUUAUUUGUGCUUCAA